GCCUGGCUGGCUUAGUCGGUGGAGUGUGUGACUCUCAAUCUCAGGGUCGUGAGUUCGAGCCCCAUGUUGGGUG
rnacentral:tRNA from 1 species